GGGUCAGUAUGUUGGUCGUGCCACCGGUACGUACUGGUCUCACUGAUUCCUCCUUCCUGAAGAACCGUAAUGCCAUUAAUUUGGUGUUGCGGGAAACAGGACUGUUACUUUGAAAAAAUUAGAGUGUUUAAAGCAAGCUAACGCUUGAAUACAUUAGCAUGGAAUAAUGAAAUAGGACGAUCGAUCCUAUUUUGUUGGUUUCUAGGAUUGACGUA
rnacentral:rRNA from 1 species